rnacentral:lncRNA from 1 species
UGGACCCAGCCUCGUGGGAGCCCCGCGGGUCCUGCCCAGAUGUGGAAGACUGAGGCCUGUUGAAAGUGCAGAGCUCAGCCCUGGCACCCUCUGUUCCCAAGAGCUCCAUGCAGGUGCCACAGGAUGGAGAAGACCUUGCUGGCCAACCUUGGUACCACGGCCUCCUGUCCCGCCAGAAGCCUCCACCAUGCCCAUAUCUGCCUUGCCCCGAACGAGCAGUGACCCGGUGUUGCUGAAGGCCCCUGCUCCCCUGGGAACUGUUGCCGACAGUCUCAGGGCCUCCGAUGGGCAGCUUCAAGCCAAGGCACCAACGAAGCCCCCCCGGACACCCUCCUUCGAACUGCCUGAUGCCUCUGAACGUCCCCCGACGUACUGCGAGCUGGUGCCCCGAGUGCCCAGUGUCCAGGGAACAUCCCCGAGCCAAAGCUGCCCAGAGCCAGAGGCCCCAUGGUGGGAGGCCGAGGAGGAUGAGGAGGAAGAGAAUAGAUGUUUUACAAGACCACAGGCUGAGAUCUCUUUCUGCCCCCAUGAUGCCCCCUCCUGCCUGCUGGGCCCCCAGAAUCGGCCCCUGGAACCCCAAGUCCUG